AGCAGCCGCGGUAAUUCCAGCUCCAAUAGCGUAUAUUAAAGUUGUUGCAGUUAAAAAGCUCGUAGUUGAAUUUCGGGGUCAGCAGGUUGGUCGUGCCUCUGGUACGCACUGGUUUCGCUGAUUCCUCCUUUCUGAAGAACUGUAAUGUCAUUAAUUUGGUGUUGCAGGGAAACAGGACUGUUACUCUGAAAAAAUUAGAGUGUUUAAAGCAAGCUAACGCUUGAAUACAUUAGCAUGGAAUAAUGAAAUAGGACGUUUGAUCCUAUUUUGUUGGUUUCUAGGAUUGACGUAAUGAUUAAUAGGGAUAGUUGGGGGCAUUAGUAUUCAAUUGUCAGAGGUGAAAUUCUUGGAUUUAUUGAAGACUAACUACUGCGAAAGCAUUUGCCAAGGAUGUUUUCAUUAAUCAAGAACGAAAGUUAGGGGAUCGAAGACGAUCAGAUACCGUCGUAGUCUUAACCAUAAACUAUGCCGACUAGGGAUCGGAUGAUGUUAAUUUUUUAAUGACUCA
rnacentral:rRNA from 1 species